CCUACGGGUGGCAGCAGUGAGGAAUAUUGGUCAAUGGACGAGAGUCUGAACCAGCCAAGUAGCGUGAAGGAUGACUGCCCUAUGGGUUGUAAACUUCUUUUAUAUGGGAGUAAAAUGUUCCACGUGUGGGAUUUUGUAUGUUACCUGUGACUAAGGAUUGGCUAACCGCGGGCCAGCAGCCGAGGUAAUACGGAGGGUCCGAGCGUUAUCCGGCUUUAUUGGGGUUAAAGGGAACGGAGGUGGAAUUUUAAGUCAGUUGGUAAAGUUUGCGGCUAAACCGUAAAAUUGCAGUUGAAACUGGCAGUCUUGAGUACAGUAGAGGUGGGCGGAAUUCGUGGUGUAGCGGUGAAAUGCUUAGAUAUCACGAAGAACUCCGAUUGCGAAGGCAGCUCACUGGACUGCAACUGACACUGAGGCUCGAAAGUGUGGGUAUCAAACAGGAUUAGAUACCCGAGUAGUC
rnacentral:rRNA from 1 species